rnacentral:rRNA from 1 species
GAAUGAACGCUGGCGGCGCGCCUAAUACAUGCAAGUCGAGCGAGAAGACGUAGCAAUACGUUUGUAAAGCGGCGAACGGGUGAGGAAUACAUGGGUAACCUACCCUCGAGUGGGGAAUAACUAGCCGAAAGGUUAGCUAAUACCGCGUACGCUUCUUGGACUUCGGUUCAGGGAGGAAAGCGAUACCGUGGGUAUCGCGCUCUUGGAUGGGCUCAUAUCCUAUCAGCUUGNGGUGAGGUAACGGCUCACCAAGGCUUCGACGGGUAGCUGGUCUGAGAGGACGAUCAGCCACACUGGCACUGCGACACGGGCCAGACUCCUACGGGAGCAGCAGUAAGGAUAUUGCGCAAUGGGCGAAAGCUGACGCAGCGACGCCGCGUGGGGGAUGAAGGUC